GUAGGUGAACCUGCGGAAGGAUCAUUACCGUGGGGCUUCGGCCCCAUUGAGAUAGCACCCUUUGUUUAUGAGUACCCUUGUUUCCUCGGCGGGCUUGCCCGCCAUGAGGACAUUAAAAACCCUUUGUAGUAGCAGUAACUUCAGUUAAUAAUAAAUAUUAAAACUUUCAACAACGGAUCUCUUGGUUCUG
rnacentral:misc_RNA from 1 species